GACGAACGCUGGCGGCGUGCUUAACACAUGCAAGUCGAACGGAAAGGCCCUGCUUGCAAGGUACUCGAGUGGCGAACGGGUGAGUAACACGUGGGUGAUCUGCCCUGCACUUCGGGAUAAGCCUGGGAAACUGGGUCUAAUACCGGAUAGGAGCCAUUUUUAGUGUGAUGGUUGGAAAGUUUUUUCGGUGUAGGAUGAGCUCGCGGCCUAUCAGCUUGUUGGUGGGGUAAUGGCCUACCAAGGCGGCGACGGGUAGCCGGCCUGAGAGGGUGGACGGCCACAUUGGGACUGAGAUACGGCCCAGACUCCUACGGGAGGCAGAAGUGGGGAAUAUUGCACAAUGGGCGCAAGCCUGAUGCAGCGACGCCGCGUGGGGGAUGACGGCCUUCGGGUUGUAAACUCCUUUCGCUAGGGACGAAGCUUUUUGUGACGGUACCUAGAGAAGAAGCACCGGCUAACUACGUG
rnacentral:rRNA from 1 species